GCUCCGCCCACUCGUGUUUUUCCGGGAAAAAUCGGUACAGACUAUCUUUCUCUUAUGAAUAUAAUAAAACUAAAUACUUUUUGGAGUUAUGAAGGAUGCAGUAUUACUCUAUAGGUACUCAAGAUUAACAUGAUAUUGAGUGAAAACGAGCAUUUCACCCCCCCUUUAAGAAGGAAAUGUGCUCAAUUCUCUAAAAUCAUUAACUAGCCAACCUCUGAGAAAAUGUUAUUGCUUUAAAACUAAUGCAUUUUUUUUUCUUAUAUUUUACAGAUAUGAGAUUCACCUAGUCAAUUUGACUUGCAAAUACUCUAUAGAAGUGGACGAUGACAAAGCCUUCAUCCAAAAAUCCACAGAGGAGACCACAGUGGGAAUCUACAUUCUCAAAUUCCGUGACAGAUCAGAUGACAUCGGGAUUGUUCCGGAAGGCCAGAACAUCUUGCAAGGCUUGGACAACUUUGCGUUAGCUAUGGCAAUGCUUUUUGGUCUUAUGUAGGCCUAUGCCUUAAAUCUCAACUACCCACCUGAAAUGAAAAAUACAUUUGAGGUACUGCAGAAGAUAGUCUUCUGUUUUUUAGUAACUUGAUACUGUUCAUUUAAUUCUGUAGCACAUACAUAAAAAUGAGUUGUACUCUUAAAAGAAAUGCAUGAAUUUGACUGAUUAUGAUUUUAAAAAUGAAAAAAAAAAGUCAAGGUAUGCUUUUGACAACUUUAUAUUGUUCACCUUUUCCUCUACACCUGUUUGACGGUGUAUUUGUCUUAAUGUUUUUGUUGCAGUUACUGUAUGAAUGGUUAUUACUGUUCACCUUCAUGUUUGACUGUGCAUUGUCUUUUACUUGAAGUGAUGAAUAAAUGAAAUGAGUAAAGUGA